AAUGUAUUCCCUCUGUCCUAAAAUUCUUGUCUUAAAUUUAUCUAAAUAUGAAUUUAUGUAGUCAUAUUUUAGUAUUUACAUACAUUUAUCUCUAGAUAAAUCUAAGACAAGAAUUUUAGAACGAAGGGAGUAAUUA
rfam:Hordeum vulgare subsp. vulgare, WGS project CAJW01000000 data, contig: morex_contig_1562317